rfam:Camelus ferus unplaced genomic scaffold scaffold157, whole genome shotgun sequence.
GAGGGUAUAGCUCAAAUGGAGAGCACAUGCUUAGCAUGCAAGAGGUCCUGGGUUCAAUUCCCAGUACCUCUA